AGAAACUUAGGUUAAAAGACCAAGAGCCUUCAAAGCUCUAAGUAGGAGUUACACCCUCCUAGUUUCUG
rnacentral:tRNA from 1 species